AGUAACAAAUUAACGAGGAUCUCUUGGAAGAGGAGCCUCAGAGACCGUUUAGGAGUUAGGAUUUCACGGGAUACGAGGCCGUCCCGGCUGGAAGGACCCCUCAUCUACCGGUGAAGGACAAAGGCUUAGAAGGGGCCGUGACUCAAGGUCCCUGGGAGCCGGGAGCAGGAGACGGUUUUCUUAGUGCCCACUCCGUGGCUGCAGGCCAUCCAGCAGGGCAGAGGAGGGAUGCAGGGGGCACAGCCCCCCUUCCCGGCCCUCGUCUGCCUGUACAUCUGCCUCUGACACUCCUUCUCCACGGCGAGGAAGGGGAUUCUUGCAGAAUGGACGGCACUGCUCGGGAGGGUGGCUGGCAUCCGAGAGGCCGGUGACGAGGCUCUCGGUCACGAGCGUGAGCGGAUCGGAGCCGGAUGAACAAGCAUUUGCACGUGCGGGUCUGUGGGCAGAUGUCACAGACCCCGAGGAGGAAGCCCCUUCAAGGCCCCCUGCCUUCUCUUGCACCCCCAUGAGCCCCUGCACCUGCCCCCUGAAGGCCACGUGGGCCUCCCAGUUGAAGACAACAGCAUCUUUGCGGUCCUUAUGCCGCGUGACUCCUCUGAGCAUUCGGCCCUGGCCGCCACCCCCUCCUUGAGACCUGCUUGUCUGCAUGGACCCCAUUAUUCCCGGUUGCCCUCCCCGCUUCUUCUGGCCCUUUCCUGCCUCCUCGGAUGGCCGCCAAGUGCAGCGGAAGGGGUGGCUGUGGAGGCGGACGGACACCGCCUGAGCUUGGACACCGGCCCUCCCCAGUGUCACACCUCGGACCCGUCUUUUCACCGCGUCUCGGCCCAAGGAGGAGACGAGCCCCACCCUCCAAAGUCGUCGUGAAGGACUGGUGGCCCUGGCUCCAUCCUUGUCCCCUUCGCUGACCCCGGUUCUCUUCCCGGCCAGAACGAUGCAACGGACUCGCCGGCCUUCAGCUGCACCUGUGUGCUGGUGAGCCUUGCUCUCCGGGCCCGACCCUCUGUCCUGGGCUCUAACCCGAGGCCAGCUUCCCCUGGGAUGUCUCUUCCCGGGCGUCUCAUGGACGCUUCCAACUGAAGGUCAAAAGGGAGCUAGCUCAUCAUGCACUCCCGCCAGCACGCCAAGCCUGCCCUCUGUCCCCGUCUCGAUACGGUCCUGUCUGUGCAUUCUGUCCCUUUGUCCCUGCAUCUUCCUCACUGACCAUGUCCAGCUCGGUCACUAUGUUCUCAAAGCAUUUCUCUCAUGUGACUCCUCGCCUCCAGCCCGUUGCCACCGCCCUGGUUCAGGGCCUCACCCCUUGCCUGAACUAUGGCAGCGGGCUCUCUCCCUGCCUCCUUGCCUCCCGUCCUCCUCCAGAUCCAGACCCUCCGCACGGGUAGCCUCCUGAAAGCUGGAUCAGCCGGGAUGCCUGUGCUCUCUGGGGACUGCAGGAUGAAGCCCAAGUCGGGCAUUUAGGCAAAGUCCUUCCAAAUGGCCUCGGCCCAACCUCCCAGUCUCCUGUGCCGCUCGCCUCCCCCCACACCUGCACCCCACGUGCAGGCUGACGCCAUCAGGGCACGCACUGUCUCUGACCUUGACAGCCUUCCUCUCCCUGCCUCACAAGACACUCCAGCCUUCGAAGCCCAGAUCAAAUAUCGUGCGCUCUGUAAAAACAUUGUCCAGUUCUCUGAAGCAGAAUUAACUGCUCCCUGCUCGGAGUUCCCCGGGGGAUCCGUCCCCAGGCCUCCGUGACGGCACCGAUCGUGGCCAGAGGCAGCCUCACCAGCAGGAGCAUGGCUUUCCAGACCGUGUACCAUGCUUCACAUAUCUGAUCCGGCCCUUACUGGCAGAUUUAUUUUGGGAAAGCGACUUA